rnacentral:sRNA from 12 species
CUUACUAAGCCUCUCAACGAUGCUCAAACCUGGAGGU